rnacentral:lncRNA from 1 species
AAAAAGAGAGUAAUUUACUUGCAACAGAUAAAAUAAAUUAUAUUUGAUCAAAUUUAGUUAGUGGUGGUGUUCGCUAUUUAUUAUUGGUUAAAAUAAGUCCAAAACUUUAUGACCCGUGAUAACAGAUGCAUGAGACUAAAAAAUUGAGUUGGAUGAAUUUGACAAGUUAAAUGAAUUUGUGGCAUACAAUAGAUCUAAUGGUAAGAGACCCAAUAAUAGACCAAACGUCCAGAGAAAUUAAGUUAGGUCGAAACCGGUGAAUGUUGUGGGUGUGAUGAGUAUGCCCUUCUUAUCAGAACGUGCAUGUUUUUGAAAUAAUUGGUUAGUACUUACGAUCUGCAAGUAGAUAAUAACAAAAAUUAAUAAAUUUAUUGAUCUUUAGUAAUUCUAGAUAAAGAAUUUAAUAAGUGUCAUACCACAGGAUCAUGUCGAUGUGACCGCAAAUCUAACAUAGGGCGGAAAAAAAUAUUUUUAUUAGAUUUUUCUAAUAGGAUUUGAAGUUUAAAGCGUGGAUCGGAUAGUUAAUUUCCGUGAGGUUUAAGUAUAAAU